rnacentral:rRNA from 1 species
AGCAGCCGCGGUAAUUCCAGCUCCAAUAGCGUAUAUUAAAGUUGUUGCAGUUAAAAAGCUCGUAGUUGAAUUUCGGGACCAUCAUGUCGGUCGUGCCUCGGUACGUACUGGCAUUGUUGGUUUCUCCCUUCUGACGAACCAUGAUGUCAUUUAUUUGGUGUUGUGGGAAAUCAGGACUGUUACUUUGAAAAAAUUAGAGUGUUUAAAGCAGGCUCACGCUUGAAUACAUUAGCAUGGAAUAAUGAAAUAGGACGUUUGAUUCUAUUUUGUUGGUUUCUAGGAUCGACGUAAUGAUUAAUAGGGAUAGUUGGGGGCAUUAGUAUUCAAUUGUCAGAGGUGAAAUUCUUGGAUUUAUUGAAGACUAACUACUGCGAAAGCAUUUGCCAAGGAUGUUUUCAUUAAUCAAGAACGAAAGUUAGGGGAUCGAAGACGAUCAGAUACCGUCGUAGUCUUAACCAUAAACUAUGCCGACUAGGGAUCGGAUGAUGUUAAUUUUUUAAUGACUCA